CUCAGCCUCGGAACCUAUGAAACAUCUCUCCCACCACAUUUUCUUGAUCAGAACAGGUUGAGGGCAGCCUGAGAUCAAAGGUGUUAAACUAGAUUCCAUCUUUUAGCGCAGAACUGACAAGGUCAACUUACAAAACGUAGGCACAAUGGAAGAUAUGGCACAGCCAUCUUCUGUAACAAGCGGGGAUGCUGGGAGGGGGUGAUGCAUUCGACACGUGAGAAGACGUGAGCUUUGGGGGGCAAAGUGCUGUGGGCUGAAUUGUGUUUCUCCCCAAAUUCAGAACCUUCAGUAACUCAGAAUGUGGCCUUAUUUGUGGACAGACUCAUCGCAGAUACAACUAGCUAAGAUGAGGUCACAGAGCGUAGAGCGGACUUUGUCCUUAUAAAAAGGGGAAAUUCGGACAGAGACAUGCACACAGGGAGAAUGCCGUGUUCAGAAGAAGACCGACAUCAGGGUGGAGAAGCCCACGUCAAGGGAUGCCAAAGAUCUCCAGGGAUGGUAAGAUCUCCUUACCCCGGAAGGUAAGAGGCAGGCCUGGGACAGAUUCUCCCUCCCAGCCUCAGAAGGGACCGGCCAGCUCUCACCUUGCUCUUGGACUUCGGGCAGCCAGAACUGUGGGAAUAAACUUCUAUUUAAGCCACCCAGUCUGUCACGCUUUUCCUGGCUGCCACGGAAACUGACAGAAGCGGCCACGGACCCCUUGUCGCGCACCUAUCCUGGGGCUAAUGACUCUAACAACCAAAGACCAUGCCCAGAGACCGAAACCACCGCACCAGCAGAUCGUGAAAUCGUCCCUGGAAACAACCAAUACUGGAGUCCAUUCGAUGCCAGCCCUCCGUGUUGUUCGAAUCCCUGCUCUCGAAAAAAGGAACCCACCACAUCGCAGGCCACUCCCACCCAAGACAAUAACCUGGCCUUCUAAAAAUAGUCUUCUUACUGGAAACAAAAUCCCGCCCCCCCCCCUUCAAAUUUCACUCCUCUGUAAGAUGGGAAUAAAUUCUUCACGAGAACCUACAACUUUCAUGAAAACACAAAAGUAAAUUUGGUGAGACGCAAACGAGUCAAUGGCUAAAAUAAAUAAACUCAAAAACGUGCUGUUUUAACUGGAAAUACCGUUUGCAAGAUACCUGAAUAGCUCCUAAUGAAGAUUUGUAAUUUUUUAAUGGACUGGUGUCAGAAACAAAGGCGGGCGAAGGACACGUGUCACAUCACGCGUGUUUUAUAGGAGACUUAAAUGGCCCUGCUCAUGGACCAGACCCACAAAUUUAGGAACAAACGAUGAGGCUAUUUUGAUGUCUCUCACAGAAGGCUUAUCAGCCAGUCCCUGUAAUUUCUAUUACUUUCCGUGAUUUACAUAUUCGAAUAAUAUUGUUUCAAACCUUGAAAUUCACCUGAAAACGUGCUGUUCGUCCCGACUCCUUUAAAGGGUCUAUCUUUGCUCUCCUGGCCAUGAACGCUCCCACUCAGAAGGGGCAAAGGAAAGGCUCUAUAAAGAUGUACCCAAGGGUCCCCACCACCAAUACAAAUCCCCACAAAAACCACCUGGAAAGGGAAUAAAGACAAGACGUAGGGUCUCGCAAAUUUCUUUUAUUCCAGCUGUCUAAUUUUCAUUAGUUCGGCCCAAGAUUUCAGCUAAGUGUUGUCCCUUUAUGGCCACUGCACAUUUUCAAAGCCCCGUGGAAAUAUGAUCUGAAUGAACUCUUACUGCCCUCCUUCUAAGAACAUCCUGCGCUUAAGGAUUCAGUCCUUUAAAUAUUUCCUGAAGAGCGUCACAGAGGUUUACAGCGAAGAAGUCAGAAACAGGCUUGUAAACCAGGAGGUUACUGGAAGCCGGUAUUCCCAGUGUGGCCCCUGGACCAGCAGAAGCUGGAUGCAUGAGAGGCGUCGAAUUGGAAUAAACCACUCUAGACGGCUGCAGUCAGCACCUGGGGGGGAGCCCCGCUGCCAGAGCUUCACCAGACCCCCUGCCCCCAAGACACUGAUGCACCCUGCACUGGGCCACAGGCAAACUGCAAAAGGACUUUCAAACGAAGAGGCCGGACCAGCCUUUCCCCAAAAGGCAAGAGUCAUGAAACUCACAAAAUCACAAAUGGAAUUUGCAUCGGAGCCAGCCGGCUCCAAUUGAAAUUUGCAAACCUCACGGCCAAUUUCUGGGCUUUCAAUUUAAAUUCUCAGUCUUAACUUUAUGAUAACAAAGCUUGCUGUCGUGAGACUAAUAGGAUGUCGUUAACUGCCCUCCGUGACAGUAUUUCACCCAGGCUUGAUGGGGCAAUUUGAAAACAUCAUUAAAGAGACAAGUUGCACCAAGAGGGUUGGCAAAAGUGCGAUUAUCUUUGGAGAUUAAAUCCCCAAACACUG